CAAGGCCUGUAAAGGGGUACCUGGUACUUUACUUAUAACAAACGUAUUUAACCUGUAAUCACGCUUUUCCUUAUAAUGUUUAAAUUUUGUUUUCAAAUUGGUAUGAAGGUCAAAUAGCUUCAAAAGAUGGUAUCAUGGGAAGCUUGAAGGAGAAUCAAGGAGACUUUUUGCCAGCUAUAGCACCAAACAAAAAAGCAGUUAACAUGUCUAACAAUACACAGCAAGAACCCCCGAUUGCCAGAUAUGACUUGAUAGACAUCAGAAAAGGUUUAGAGAAAUAUAACUGGAGUAUUCUACGCUAGAGCAGAUAUUCAAGGGACACAAUGAGAAUUAUAAAUCAACAAUUUUUUUUUCUAAUACAUUUUGGAUCUUUGUUUAAUCUGUAAAAAUCACAAGAUUACAACACAUCACCUGCCUUAUUCAACCAUAACUUACAAAAAAAACAUCCCCUGCCUUAUUCAACCACAAGAUUACAACACAUGGCAUGACUUAUUCAACCAAUCUCUAAGUUCAUUUCUUCAACUGAUGUUGCAAGCCUCCAUUUUUCUGUCCUCUUUCUUUGCUUUUCCACCUAAAUCUAUUUCUAUUGAAAGCAAUUAAGUUCUAAAAUUAAAAACGAUCUGUAUUUUUGUAUAAGUAAGUGGAAGCAAAUAUAUAAUAUAUGAAUGAAUUAAAGGCACACAUUUUAAAUUAUAAUAUCAAAGUAAAUUGAGUGUCAUUAAGAUUUUAUUACUGAACUAUUUGAAGUUGUAUGAAGUAAUGAAAUAAAAUAGAAGGCGAUAGGCUAAAAA
rnacentral:sRNA from 1 species